AAUAUUUGACGCCAUUGACUUUUUAGCACAUGUUUGAUCGUUCGUCUUAUUCAAAAAAUUUAAGUAAUUAUUAAUUCUUUUCCUAUCAUUUGAUUCAUUGCUAAAUAUUUUUUUUAUGUAGGCAUAUAAUUUUACAUAUUUCACAAAAGUUUUUGAAUAAGACGAACGGUUAAACAUGUGCUAAAAAGUUAACGGCGCCAAUCAUU
rfam:Oryza sativa (indica cultivar-group) chromosome 6, whole genome shotgun sequence.